rnacentral:Y_RNA from 1 species
GGCCGGUCCAAAUGCAGUGGUGCUUACAACUAAUAAUUGAUCACAACCAGUUACAGAUUUCUUUGUUCCUUCUCCACUCCUAUUGCUUCACUGACUAGUCAUAA